rnacentral:rRNA from 2 species
GGGCGUUAAGUUGCAGGGUAUAGACCCGAAACCCGGUGAUCUAGCCAUGGGCAGGUUGAAGGUUGGGUAACACUAACUGGAGGACCGAACCGACUAAUGUUGAAAAAUUAGCGGAUGACCUGUGGCUGGGGGUGAAAGGCCAAUCAAACCGGGAGAUAGCUGGUUCUCCCCGAAAGCUAUUUAGGUAGCGCCUCGUGAAUUCAUCUCCGGGGGUAGAGCACUGUUUCGGCUAGGGGGCCAUCCCGGCUUACCAACCCGAUGCAAACUGCGAAUACCGGAGAAUGUUAUCACGGGAGACACACGGCGGGUGCUAACGUCCGUCGUGAAGAGGGAAACAACCCAGACCGCCAGCUAAGGUCCCAAAGUCAUGGUUAAGUGGGAAACGAUGUGGGAAGGCCCAGACAGCCAGGAUGUUGGCUUAGAAGCAGCCAUCAUUUAAAGAAAGCGUAAUAGCUCACUGGUCGAGUCGGCCUGCGCGGAAGAUGUAACGGGGCUAAACCAUGCACCGAAGCUGCGGCAGCGACGCUGAUGCGUUGUUGGGUAGGGGAGCGUUCUGUAAGCCUGUGAAGGUGUGUCGUGAGGCAUGCUGGAGGUAUCAGAAGUGCGAAUGCUGACAUAAGUAACGAUAAAGCGGGUGAAAAGCCCGCUCGCCGGAAGACCAAGGGUUCCUGUCCAACGUUAAUCGGGGCAGGGUGAGUCGACCCCUAAGGC